GAUGAACGCUAGCUACAGGCUUAACACAUGCAAGUCGAGGGGAAACGACAUCGAAAGCUUGCUUUUGAUGGGCGUCGACCGGCGCACGGGUGAGUAACGCGUAUCCAACCUGCCCACCACUUGGGGAUAACCUUGCGAAAGUAAGACUAAUACCCAAUGAUAUCUCUAGAAGACACCUGAAAGAGAUUAAAGAUUUAUCGGUGAUGGAUGGGGAUGCGUCUGAUUAGCUUGUUGGCGGGGUAACGGCCCACCAAGGCUACGAUCAGUAGGGGUUCUGAGAGGAAGGUCCCCCACAUUGGAACUGGGACACGGUCCAAACUCCUACGGGAGGCAGCAGUGAGGAAUAUUGGUCAAUGGGCGAGAGCCUGAACCAGCCAAGUAGCGUGCAGGAUGACGGCCCUAUGGGUUGUAAACUGCUUUUAUAAGGGAAUAAAGUGAGCCUCGUGAGGCUUUUUGCAUGUACCUUAUGAAUAAGGACCGGCUAAUUCCGUGCCAGCCGCCGCCGUAA
rnacentral:rRNA from 1 species